rnacentral:tRNA from 1 species
UCCCUGGUGGCUCAGUGGUUAAGACUCUGUGCUUCCACUACAGGGGGCCUGGGUUCAAUCCCUGGUCAGGGAA